UUUAGAUGACCUCCUCUGACAGCCACAAGUUCAGUAGGACAUCAUCUUUUUCUUACUUUAUCAGCAUUGCAAAUAUAUAGCCUCUGGGUAAUUGUAUCUUCCAUCUUUACAGCUCCUGAUAUUGGUUACUUUGCCUGUGACCACAGGUCAGUGUCAAAUAGUUUAGGCUUUGUUACACCGGGAACACAUUUCGUGCUGUAUGUAUAUAGAAUGUAGAUGAGAUGAGCUUUUAGUUCUGUCUCAACCAAAUUGCUUACAUCUCACACUGCAUAUUUUGUGGUUCUUGGAGUUUAUUUAUUUAUAGAGUAAACUUUCUAUUA
rnacentral:lncRNA from 1 species